rnacentral:tRNA from 1 species
GUCCAAGGUGGCCGAGAUCCUAGGCAUCGAGCUUUUAACUCGGUUACAGUAUACUACUCCAGGACA